rnacentral:rRNA from 1 species
GUUGAACGCUGGCGGCAUGCCUUACACAUGCAAGUCGAACGGCAGCACGGGAGCAAUCCUGGUGGCGAGUGGCGAACGGGUGAGUAAAGUAUCGGAACGUGCCCAGUCGUGGGGGAUAACGUAGCGAAAGUUACGCUAAUACCGCAUACGAUCUAUGGAUGAAAGCGGGGGAUGGCAAGACCUCGCGCGAUUGGAGCGGCCGAUAUCAGAUUAGGUAGUUGGGUGGGUAAAGGCGAACCAAGCCGACGAUCUGUAGACGGUAUGAGAGGAGGAACAGACACACUGGGACUGAGACACGGCCCAGACUCCUACGGGAGGAAGCAGGGGUGAAUUUUGGACAAUGGGCGAAGGCCUGAUCCAGCCAUGCCGCGUGCAGGAUGAAGGCCUUCGGGUUGUAAACUGCUUUUGUACGGAACGAAAAGGUUUGGCCUAAUAAGCUGAGCUCAUGACGGUACCGUAAGAAUAAGCACCGGCUAACUACGUGCCAGCCGCCGCCGUAA